GAUGAACGCUGGCGGCGUGCCUAAUACAUGCAAGUCGAACGCAUUGAGAGAAGUGCUUGCACUUUUCAAUUUGAGUGGCGAACGGGUGAGUAACACGUGGGCAACCUACCUGAUAGCGGGGGAUAACGAGUGGAAACAUUCGCUAAUACCGCAUAACAAUAGAGAAGGCAUCUUCUUUAUUUAAAAGGCGCUUUCAAGCGUCACUAUCAGAUGGGCCCGCGGUGCAUUAGUUAGUUGGUGGGGUGAAGGGCUACCAAGACGAUGAUGCAUAGCCGAGUUGAGAGACUUAUCGGCCACAUUGGGACUGAGACACGGCCCAAACUCCUACGGGAGGCUGCAGUAGGGAAUCUUCCACAAUGGACGAAAGUCUGAUGGAGCAACGCGGCGUGUGUGAUGAAGGCUUUCGGGUCGUGAGGCACUGUUGUAUGGGAAGAAAUGCUAGGCUAGGAAAUGAGCUUAGUUUGACGGUACCAUACCAGAAAGGGACGGCUAAAUACGUGCCAGCCGCCGCGGUAA
rnacentral:rRNA from 1 species